rnacentral:lncRNA from 1 species
AUGGCCGCUGGUCUAACAAUGCACCUGGCAGGAUCAGGAACAUCCACUUUUUCUCCAAAUGAAAGGUUACACACAGGGCACUGUCUUUUGAAGAGACCAGGCCAUCUGUUUCACUUGUGGGGUUUGUCUUACUGUUUUCUUGUGGUGGAGUUUUUGGUGAAGUUUUGAAGAAGGAUGAAAACACUCUGGAGCUUGAGCUGGAAUCCCUGGGCUGCCCCAAGGACACAUGCUCUGCUGCCUGUUGAAAAUGAGGGAAGAAACCAAUAAACAGGGAGCAUUCAUUUCUUUCUUUAUUGCAGCAAAACAUACAUAACAUAAAAUUCAUCAUUUUAACCAUUUUUAAGUGUACU